rnacentral:lncRNA from 1 species
AUGGAAAGUGUCAUUCAGAAGACAAUAUGAGGAGAGUCCUGUAUUUAUCUAUAAGCCUCAUAAAAUGGUAAAAAAAUUGAGAUUUUUCAAUUUCUUGACCUUAGGUCACUAUAAUUUUACCAUUUUAGUAACAUGUAUUUAAAACAGUUCUUAAAUUUACAUUAACCUUUAACCUAAUAUAGUAUAUAAAGUAGUAAAGAAUGCAGAUGAUCACAUUUAACUCAGCCAACAACAUUUUUACGGAUAUAAAUAUCUACAUUCUGGCUUUAAAUAAUUACUAGUGUUCUCUUUUAAUUAGACACAUUAGGAAUAGCCCCCUAAAGAAUGCCUGCCUGCAGGUCUCCUCUUUAUUUUUAAUUUUCUAAGAUGUGUUUUAUUUUAUAUGUAUGAAAAUACUUUGCCUUCAUGUGUGUGUGUGUGUGCACCACAUGUGUACCUGGUACCACAGAGUCCGGAAGAGGGCUUUAGAUCCCCUAGACCUGCUCCUUACAAAUGGUUGUCAGUUGCUGUGGGUGCAGGAAUUGGACCCUAGACCUCUGUAAGAGCAGCAAGUGCUCUAAACUGCUGCGCCGUCUCCCAGCCCCCAGGCAGUUCUUUAAUGCUAUUUAAAUACAGUAUUGAAGCAGCCCGUGAGAAAGCAGGUUUUCCAAGGGAGUCUUAUGAUGAUGUUGAGAGCAAUAAAUACAUCUAAAAUUAGUCACCUGAUGCGUCCAGAGGAACAAGAGAUUUAUAGAAUGUCAUUGGUUCUUUACAUAAAACGAGAACAUUAAAAUACAAGCAGCCUAUAUUAUCAGAAAGAUGCUUCUGGUUUGAGAGAAGUAAAUUAAAAGCUGACACCAGUGGCCAGGCCUCCAUUGCCAUUUGUGGUAGAGCAGGCUGGAGUCAUAGAAUUUUGUCAUUUGCAUUAUUUCUAUUAUGGGGAAUCUUCAUAAUGAAUCAAGAAUAAUAGACCAGUUGUUCCCUACAGGGUGAGAAUAUAAGCUUCCUGACCUAGACAGCCUCAGGGAAGGUGUGCUGUUCAGGAGUCUUUCUAGUUACAUAAAAUUGUGACGAGAUGAAGGCAGCGGGACUAGGAGAGGCCACCUGAGGGACCAAGAUGACAAUUUUGAGGUCUGAAAACAACAAUAUUACUACAUAUUACUACAAUAAUGGUAUACCAUUUUUAUAUCACUUUAUGAGUUAUAUAAUAUGUUAUGUAUCAUUUAAUCCUUAUAAAAUGCUAUGAUUAUAUUAAUCCAUGUUUUUAGAUAAGUAAAUUGAAAAUUAUGAGGUUAAAUUACUUUGCCUAAAGCCAACACAGUAAGUGAUGGGGCUGAUACUCUAAUUUUGACUCUCCUUCCCCACUUCCCCACUCUUGAGUCUUGUGAGUCAUACAUGAGCAGCAGUCAAGCUGAGAGUGCUGGUGGGCACACACACUCACUAGGCUUUCAGCAUCAGAUAGGGCAAGGAUGCUGAUUCUCCAUGGCUGGUGGGUCCAUGAGCUCUGGAGAAUCUCUUCAGCCAAUACUUGAUACUCAGAAUUCUGUCAUGACAGAGUUACUAUAAGUUUGAUCUUGAAGGACCCUGAAAUCUAAAAUGGGUGUCAAGAAAAAGGACUUAGGACUACUUUGUGGAAGUAGACUAAUAUAAGAGUAUUGAUUGUUUUAUAAAGCUUAGAAUUUGGUAACACUCUUGAUUUUAGUUUUUUUUACUAGUGAAGAGGCCUGUGAAAUACACCAUCCACACCAUCCUUAGCCUGGAUGAGACUCGGCGCUGGCUCCUGGGAGGAAGGGAGCAGCUGCCUCAUGUUCACUCUCUGGCCUUUCCUCCUUGAGUGAUACGAAUACUACAUAGAAACACUAAAACACAGUAAAAAGGACUCUGGGGAAUAAUCAAAUUCGACCUAGCUUUUGCCCUUUACUGAAGAAACUGCAGUGUGGUAGGGUUUCCUCCCUUUAGUUUUUGUUUGUUUUGGUUUUUGGUUUUUGGGUUUUUUUUGGCAAGUUUGACUGUUGUAAUCAAGGUUGGUCUUGAACUGCUAGAUCCUCUUGCCUGCUAGAAUUAUGGGAGAGAGUCAUUGUACUUGGCUUGGAAAGCAUUGCACUUUAUUAGGAUUAAGACAAAAACAGUUUCCCUGUGAGAUGAGCCAUUUAUGACAUGAUCUCCAGUAACCUUUGUCUUCCCACUCUCGGGAGGCUCAGGCAGCAGAGCUCAGACUGCAGGCCAGCCUGGGUGAAGAAGAAAAAGCCCAUCUCAUUUGGAUAACUUUGUCACUAAUGUUUAUUAAAAACAAAUGACAUUAGGUAGUAAAAGUUAAAAAAAAAAAAAAAGUAGUUGCUGGAAAAUGUUCAGAAUAACUGAGUAGGAAAAAAAAUCACUUCCAAAGGAGGCCAUUGCCAUGUAAUGUCAUGGGUUUUAAAUCUUAAACUCUUUUCCAUGGAAAAUUUAAAAAGAAUGCAUUUGAUUUUGCAUUAAUUAGACAAUAUUUUAUGUUAUCUAUUAGUUUUAGAAAAUAAAAUCUGAUUUUCCUUUAGUUUUCUUUACUCAGUAAGUGUAUUUUGCCUUCAUCUAAAUGUUUUACAUUUAUAGUUCUUAACUCUUGUAAUUAGAUGAUAAUCUUAAGAAUACAUUGCUGGCUAAAACCUGUACUUUAACAAAUGUAGUUUUUAAGUU